UACGGGGGGGGCAAGCGUUGUUCGGAAUUACUGGGCGUAAAGGGCUCGUAGGCGGCCAACUAAGUCAGACGUGAAAUCCCCAGGCUCAACCUGGGAACUGCGUCUGAUACUGGAUGGCUUGAAUCCGGGAGAGGGAUGCAGAAUUCCAGGUGUAGCGGUGAAAUGCGUAGAUAUCUGGAGGAAUACCGGUGGCGAAGGCGGCAUCCUGGACCGGCAUUGACGCUGAGGCGCGAAAGCGUGGGGAGCGAACAGG
rnacentral:rRNA from 1 species